AAAACGGAGGUAUUAUUAAUUAAGUGAAAUAUUCUCUUAUUCAGAUAUAAGAUUACGACCACACUUGUUGAUGAAUUAAAAACUUUCAAAAUUUCAAUUUUGACCAAGAUACAACUUAGAAGUGAAAAUUUAAGAGGGAAAUAAAAAUAAAACAUUUAAUUUGGUUAAAAAUUGUGGGAAACCCCCAAAUGACUAAAACUCCAAAAUUGUUAGGGGGAAAUCUCCCUCCAAAUUUCCAAGAGUAAAACGUAAAAGUAAAGUAGUAAACUAGUAAAGUGACUAAAUUCUAAAAUACAAAAAACAAAAAUAAAAGUAAAACAAUAAAAAAAAAAAAAAAAAAAAAAAAAAAAAAAAAAAAACCUACUCAUCUUCCUUAGCCGUUUUCACUCUCUUUUGUCUUCACUCUUCUGACUUCUCAAAUCUUAUGCUACUCAUCUGAUCUCAAGCGCUCUGGCAAGGCAAGGUUUUGAUUUUGCGGUUUUUUUUCACUUAUACGAAGCCAAUUCAUGAGCUUCCUGUACUCGAGGUGCGCUUAAUUUGAUUUGCAUGUGGUUCUCCAUUCCCUCAGUUGAAGCGCGCCUUCUGAGCUUUCUCUCCUCCAUUGAAGCCGACCUUUGAGAGGGAAUAGAGGAUGAGUGUGGAUGAGUGUACACCAGAGGAAGAAGCCAAUGUUCGUACACAAGAGGAAGAAGUCGUUGAUCCUGAACUUACAGUUGACAACAACAAUGUGAGCACUAUGGAAUCUGGAUUUCAAGCUGUAGGAAAGAAACGGAGUCUAGUUUGGCCGGAAUUCCUCACGUUUGACAAGACGGAAUCUAGUGAUGGGAAACAGAGGUCAAUUUGCAAACAUUUCCAAAAAGCAUCCUUCAUAACCAACCCCAAUUAU